AACGAACGCUGGCGGCAUGCCUAACACAUGCAAGUCGAACGAAGGCGUCGGCCUUAGUCGCGCACGGGUUCGUAACGCGACGGAAUCUGCCCGUGUGGUCGGCAUAACAGCUGGAAACGGCUGCCAAUACCGGACGAUGACGAAUACCCAAUGAUGUAUCGGCAGAGGAGGAGCCCACGUUGGAUUAGGAAUUUGGUGAGGUAAAGGCCGACCAACCCGAUGUUCCAUAGCUGGUCUGGGAGGAGGUCCAAGCACACUGGGACUGAGACCCGGCCGAGACUCCCACGGGAGGGAGCAGUGGGGAACAUUGGACGAUGGGCGCGAGCAUGAUCCAGCAAUGCCGCGUGAGUGAGGAAGGCGCUAGGGUUGUAAAGCUCUUUUAACCGGGAAGAUAGUGACUGUACCGGGAGAAUAAGCCACGGCUAACUCCGUG
rnacentral:rRNA from 1 species